GAAGACGGGAAAGAUAUUCGUCUAAAUGUUUCAGC
rnacentral:sRNA from 1 species